CUCAGGCAGCAGCGUCGCCGUCACCCGGGGCCGAGGGAGAAGACGCCUCCGCGCCCUCCCCCCGCUGAACCGUCCCGUCGCCGUCCCCCGGGCGGCGGGCGCGGNGCGNGGAAGGGGUACGGGGCCCCCCGCUCCCGGCGCGGCUGUCAACCGGGGCGGACUGUCCUCAGUGCGCCCCGCCCGCCUGCGCCGCCGAGGCGGGAGGGCCGAGGGGAGGCGCCAAGGGUCAGCGCAUGUCGGUACCCACCCGACCCGUCUUGAAACACGACCAAGGAGUCUAACGCGCGCGCGAGUCGGAGGGCUCGCAGCGAAACCCUGUGGCGCAAUGAAGGUGAGGGGGGGCGACCCCGGCUGAGGUGGGAUCGCCGCCGCGCGGCGGGCGCACCACCGGCCCGUCUCGCCGGCACCGUCCGGAGGUACCACGCCCGUCUCGCCGCACCGUCCGGGAGGUGGAGCGAGAGCGCGCGCGAUAGGACCCGAAAGAUGGUGAACUAUGCCUGGGCAGGCGAAGCCAGAGGAAACUCUGGUGGAGGUCCGUAGCGGUCCUGACGUGCAAAUCGGUCGUCCGACCUGGGUAUAGGGGCGAAAGACUAAUCGAACCAUCUAGUAGCUGGUUCCCUCCGAAGUUUCCCUCAGGAUAGCUGGCGCUCUCUCCNUCCGCAGUUUUAUCCGGUAAAGCGAAUGAUUAGAGGUCUUGGGGCCGAAACGAUCUCAACCUAUUCUCAAACUUUAAAUGGGUAAGAAGCCCGGCUGCGCUGGCCUGGAGGCCGGGCAUGGAAUGCGAGCGCCUAGUGUGCACACUUUGGUAAGCAGACACUGGCGCUGCGGGAUGAACCGAACGCCGGGUUAAGGNGCCCGAUGCCGACGCUCAUCAGACCCCAGAAAAGGUGGUUGGUUGAUAUAGACAGCAGGACGGUGGCCAUGGAAGUCG
rnacentral:rRNA from 1 species